GUUUGAACAUUAAAAGACGAUCCACAGCUGAAGAGUAUACUAGUCCACUGGCAGUUAGAAUUUGUAUUCUAAUAUUAUUUAUCAGAAUUCUAGCUUAUUUUCUUUGAAGGUACGAGAAUUAAAGAUGGUUCUAAGGAUAUUGAUGUUGUUAAUGAUUCUGGUGACUGUUUAUUCUUUUCCUUCACCAAUAAACACAGAAUACCAACCUCCCAGUACAACAAUCUCAGAAUACGAAAAUUCCAGUGAGCCUAGCCCAGAAUACGAACCUCCCAGUGCACCUAGCUCAGAAUACGAACCUCCGGAUGUACCUAGCUCAGAAUACGAACCCCCGAGUGCACCUAGCCCAGAAGAAGAACCACUCCGUGCUCCUAGCUCAGAAGAAGAACCAACCCUUGCACCAAACCCUGAGGAUGAACCACUCCGUGAACCCAGCUUAGACGACCAACACCCCUUUGCACCUGCAUCAGAAUCCGCUCUCGAUUGGCUG